rnacentral:sRNA from 1 species
UUUUUUUUUGGAUUUAUUUUGUAUUGUUUAAUUUAAAUAAUUUUUAUUUAUCUAAUCAUUCACUCAUGCAAUAAGAAAUUAUUUUUAGUAUUAAAAUAUUUUUUUUCUAACAAUAUUCUCAAUAUUUCAUUAUACACAUAAUUCAUAAACAACGUUCAUCUUAAACUAAUUUAACAGAUGGUAGUGUUCGAUUCUAGAAACCUAAGAAUUUGAUGAUGGAGCUCCGUACGUAUUCUGCACCCUCGGUAAUUUAUUAUAUAAAUAU